UGAGCAAUCUGCCCUUCUCUUCGGAAUAAGCGUGGGAAACCGCGUCUAAUACCGAAUACGACCUCCUUUCGCAUGAUCGGAGGUGGAAAGCUCCGGCGGAGAAGGAUGAGCUCGCGGCCUAUCAGCUAGUUGGUGUGGGUAAUGGCCCACCAAGGCGACGACGGGUAGCCGGCCUGAGAGGGUGACCGGCCACACUGGGACUGGGACACGGCCCAGACUCCUACGGGAGCAGNAGGU
rnacentral:rRNA from 1 species